rnacentral:rRNA from 1 species
GAUCCCAUCAGAACUCCGAAGUUAAGCGUGCUUGGGCGAGAGUAGUACUAGGAUGGGUGACCCCCUGGGAAGUUCUCGUGUUGCACCC